rnacentral:rRNA from 4 species
UCAUACCAGCACUACA